rnacentral:tRNA from 1 species
AUUUACAUAGAUUAUAUAAUAGAUCAUAACACUGAAGAUGUUAGGGAGGUUGCUUUAACCUGUAAAUAC